GUUUGAUAUGUAAGAUAUGAUUUAACAGAGCAGUGAAACAGGAGUUCAGCUCUCUUUUGAAGUUUGGACUUUAUCAGCAAUAGAGAUUUCCAAACCACUGUGUGGACUUUGUCAAUAACUCUGGCGUUAGGAUUGGAACAACCACGUCUGGUUUGCUGGAAUCUAAGUAUGUUUAGAAUAAAAAGAGCCUGGAAAGAGAAUUAUUGAUUUGCAUUAUGGAAACCACUUCAACCAGACACUAGAAAUCUUUCAAGGCUUGUGUGCUGGCUCAUAUUUUCCUUUCCCAAGGUGG
rnacentral:lncRNA from 1 species